UCAUUUUUUUGUUGUUUUUGUAUUUUGUCCAUUUGUAUAUGAUCAAUGUAAAACAUUUUCUUUCAGGCAUAUAUGCAAAGAUUGUGAAGUGAGAAAUAUGAUGGUGCCAGGAGGGUUUUCGCGCCCCAAAGAAUGGGCAGGUUUUGUCUAGGGGACAAUUGAUGAUCAUUUCCCUUAGUGGACCGUUGACUAUGUGUUGCUCCCAUGUACUAUACGGAAUAAGCACUGGGUCCUUGGGAAAAUCUACUUGAAAGAGAGGAAAGUAGUGAUAUACGACUCUAGGAGAAGGUCAAGGGUCGAAUCCAUCAAGCCAUUAGUGAGCCUCUUACCUAUUCUCAUGAUGCGUAGUCCAUAUUACGAGCAUACUUCGACGCUUUAGCAUCCACACAGAGAAUGGGAGGUGGAGAUUCUUCAUCCGUCGAUGGUGUCUCUGCCUCAACAACCAGAUGGGUACAUUCCAAGAGCAAUAAUGCCAUUAAAGACCUACCAUGUGUCCAAAAGGGCACGAUUCGCAGCAUAACUGUACCAAACCUACCUCAUGCCCCAUGCCGAGGAACGAGCAACCAUAAUUGGCACAUGGCCACUCCAUCGGGAAAGGGAAGUCGAUCUAGUUAGCAUUGAGCAAAUCGGAGUUCACGAAGUGAUAUAAGCUAAGAAGUAGGACAAAUUUUGUGCUAAACCACACAAGAUCUACCCACUAGCGGUGCGCGACUUUAUUGCCAACUCCAACCCCAACAUUGAAGAUGAAGACAAGGAACACGCUUUCCACACCUAUGUUUGGGGAGUAUGGGUACCAUUCAGCCCAGCGGAGAUCCAACAUUUCUUUCAGGUUGAUGCCGGGUCAGACGUGCCUAACAUUGUAGAUUGGAAUGAUGUUGCUCGCUUAUGUUUCAUUGACGAAAUUCCACCACAAUAGCCCUGUAACAACAUGGUGUUGCACAACGAGCUUAACAUUAAGCUCAAGAUCUUUCAUUACAUCAUCGCCUACAAUGUUCCCUCCUGUCACAUGAUGGAAAUCUACCCUCAACGGAUGUAAUUGCUUUAUGCACUCGCGAAGGGCCAUGACUUAAAUUUCGAAGACUAGAUAUUUUGCCAAAUAAUGGCCUUUGCCCUGAGCAGAGGCAA